ACCUCAUACUGUAUUGGAGCAGCAGCAGCUGACUUGUUCGUUGAUGCUAAUCAGCAUGUUUCGAAUUUGAGAGUAAAUAGAGCCGACUACAACUCUAAAAAUGAAGGGUUCAACUGGAGUUGUUCUCAGAUCCCGUAAGAACCUUAGGGUUCUUGACAAUGAAAAACUGCCCCAAAAAGGUUCUUCAAAGAACUUGUUAGAAGAUGGGUUCACCGAGGAACCUCCGUUGUUGCUGGACUUCUUCCGGGAACUUCGCAAUUACAACUGAAAACGAUGGACUGGAGACCACAGCAGCGAUCCUGCUCUUGCCCAACCUCUUCAAAGAGGAGCCAAGUGGCCUUUAUGUCCGUGACAAGAUUUCACCGCUCUUCACUCCUUUACUGCACAUCGGCGGAAAUCCAUUUCACCAUGAGAGUGAAAUCCCGCUGGCCUUUGAUGGGGAGAACAUCCACGCCCUCGAGGACAUCCCCAUGGGACUUUUAUUUUCCCUUAAAUUUCCCAAAAAUGUCAGAAAAACACUUAUGUUGUUAAGUUACUGUGUUCUGGGGAAAAGAGAAGUUGGGUGAAGUUACCAGGGCAGGUCAUAAAGAUGGCAAACUUCCUAACAUAACUAAGUGGAUACGAUAUACACACU